rnacentral:rRNA from 1 species
ACUCCUACGGGAGGCAGCAGUGAGGAAUAUUGCGCAAUGGGCGAAAGCCUGACGCAGCGACGCCGCGUGGGGGAUGAAGGUUUUCGGAUUGUAAACCCCUUUUGUGAGGAAAGAUAAGGCAGGUAACUGCCUAGACGGUACCUCAAGAAAAAGCCACGGCUAACUUCGUGCCAGCAGCCGCGGUAAUACGAAGGUGGCGAGCGUUGUUCGGAUUUACUGGGCGUAAAGAGCACGUAGGCGGUUGGGUAAGCCUCCUGGGAAAGCUCCUGGCUUAACCGGGAAAGGUCGAGGGGAACUGUCUAGCUAGAGGGCGGGAGAGGAGCGCGGAAUUCCCG